rnacentral:rRNA from 1 species
UGGGGAAUAUUGGACAAUGGGGGAAACCCUGAUCCAGCGACGCCGCGUGAGUGAAGAAGUAUUUCGGUAUGUAAAGCUCUAUCAGCAGGGAAGAAAAUGACGGUACCUGACUAAGAAGCCCCGGCUAACUACGUGCCAGCAGCCGCGGUAAUACGUAGGGGGCAAGCGUUAUCCGGAUUUACUGGGUGUAAAGGGAGCGCAGACGGCGAAGCCAGUCUGCAUGAAAUGCAUGGGCUCAACCCAUGAAUUGCUUUGGAAACUGUUUGGCUUGAGUGUCGGAGGGGUAAGCGGAAUUCCUAGUGUAGCGGUGAAAUGCGUAGAUAUUAGGAGGAACACCGGAGGCGAAGGCGGCUUACUGGACGACAACUGACGUUGAGGCUCGAAGGCGUGGGGAGCAAACAGGAUUAGAUACCCUGGUAGUCCACGCAGUAAACGAUGAAUACUUGGUGUCGGGGAGGUAAACUCUUCGGUGCCGCAAGCAAACGCAUUAAGUAUUCCACCUGGGGAGUACGUUCGCAAGAAU